rnacentral:lncRNA from 1 species
UAGUUUCUCCAAGGAAUUUCACAAGUGCUUUUUGUAUAACAUAUUGGUUGGAAAUGGGAAUAGAUGAGUUAAUGCCGAGUACAGUUGGAAGUUUGGGCAGUGGAUAAUGAUGUGUUCAGAAGUAAGAGAGAUGUGGCAUGUUCGGCAUUGGGAGUCUAUUGUGUCGUCUAUUUUAGACAUGAUAGGUGACAACUUGUUAUGCCCACUGCGAAGUCUAUGGAGUUUACGGUUGAUUGGAGUUGAAAAUAUCAGAUGCCAGGGGAGGGGGCCCAUUUCUGUACGCAGCAUAGCAUUUAUCCUGUUUGAAGAGCUUUGUAUAGAGGUGAGAUUGCUCCGUCGUUGUAGAGCUGCGAGCUUCGGUCAGUUUCCAGGAUUCUGCCAGAUGACGUUUUGGGCACCAUACACUAUAUCCAGCUACAUCUUGUAUAUGGUCAUGGGAACCGUCAGUGAAGAGGGUUCAAGAUGGCUUCCCUCUUGCUGAUGGCCAGUUUUUGGAAUGGAAAGUGCUUGAUUUCCCAUGGCGGAGGAAAUGUUUUAUCCAUAGAAGGAGUUUGCCCCGAAUACUAAGCUGGGAAAGUUUGAAAAGCAAUCCGAGGUGCCACGUCGAGUCGUACGCUCCAGCAAUGUCCAGAAAGACAGCCUAGGGUUGAACGGCCUUGGCGGAAUCCUGCUUGAUUGCUUGCUUGCUAACGCAGGAAGUUAAGGCUAUAGGUCUGUAUGCUUCCGGGUCCGAAGGUACUUUUCCUGGUUUGGGAAUAGGGAUAAUGGUGGAAAUUUUCCAUUGUCUAGGUUCCUUAGCAUAGUGUUGUGGACUAGGUCGUCUCCCAUGGUGGUUUUCUUCAGCUGGUUUAUGGCUUCCUGUAUUUCGGUAAGUGUU